rnacentral:rRNA from 1 species
GUGAUUCGUAACACUAUCAUUAACUGAAUCCAUAGGUUAAUGAGGCGAACCGGGGGAACUGAAACAUCUAAGUACCCCGAGGAAAAGAAAUCAACCGAGAUUCCCCCAGUAGCGGCGAGCGAACGGGGAGCAGCCCAGAGCCUGAAUCAGUGUGUGUGUUAGUGGAAGCGUCUGGAAAGGCGCGCGAUACAGGGUGACAGCCCCGUACACAAAAAUGCACAUACUGUGAGCUCGAUGAGUAGGGCGGGACACGUGGUAUCCUGUCUGAAUAUGGGGGGACCAUCCUCCAAGGCUAAAUACUCCUGACUGACCGAUAGUGAACCAGUACCGUGAGGGAAAGGCGAAAAGAACCCCGGCGAGGGGAGUGAAAAAGAACCUGAAACCGUGUACGUACAAGCAGUGGGAGCACGCUUAGGCGUGUGACUGCGUACCUUUUGUAUAAUGGGUCAGCGACUUAUAUUCUGUAGCAAGGUUAACCGAAUAGGGGAGCCGAAGGGAAACCGAGUCUUAACUGGGCGUUAAGUUGCAGGGUAUAGACCCGAAACCCGGUGAUCUAGCCAUGGGCAGGUUGAAGGUUGGGUAACACUAACUGGAGGACCGAACCGACUAAUGUUGAAAAAUUAGCGGAUGACUUGUGGCUGGGGGUGAAAGGCCAAUCAAACCGGGAGAUAGCUGGUUCUCCCCGAAAGCUAUUUAGGUAGCGCCUCGUGAAUUCAUCUCCGGGGGUAGAGCACUGUUUCGGCAAGGGGGUCAUCCCGACUUACCAACCCGAUGCAAACUGCGAAUACCGGAGAAUGUUAUCACGGGAGACACACGGCGGGUGCUAACGUCCGUCGUGAAGAGGGAAACAACCCAGACCGCCAGCUAAGGUCCCAAAGUCAUGGUUAAGUGGGAAACGAUGUGGGAAGGCCCAGACAGCCAGGAUGUUGGCUUAGAAGCAGCCAUCAUUUAAAGAAAGCGUAAUAGCUCACUGGUCGAGUCGGCCUGCGCGGAAGAUGUAACGGGGCUAAACCAUGCACCGAAGCUGCGGCAGCGACGCUUAUGCGUUGUUGGGUAGGGGAGCGUUCUGUAAGCCUGUGAAGGUGUACUGUGAGGUAUGCUGGAGGUAUCAGAAGUGCGAAUGCUGACAUAAGUAACGAUAAAGCGGGUGAAAAGCCCGCUCGCCGGAAGACCAAGGGUUCCUGUCCAACGUUAAUCGGGGCAGGGUGAGUCGACCCCUAAGGCGAGGCCGAAAGGCGUAGUCGAUGGGAAACAGGUUAAUAUUCCUGUACUUGGUGUUACUGCGAAGGGGGGACGGAGAAGGCUAUGUUGGCCGGGCGACGGUUGUCCCGGUUUAAGCGUGUAGGCUGGUUUUCCAGGCAAAUCCGGAAAAUCAAGGCUGAGGCGUGAUGACGAGGCACUACGGUGCUGAAGCAACAAAUGCCCUGCUUCCAGGAAAAGCCUCUAAGCAUCAGGUAACAUCAAAUCGUACCCCAAACCGACACAGGUGGUCAGGUAGAGAAUACCAAGGCGCUUGAGAGAACUCGGGUGAAGGAACUAGGCAAAAUGGUGCCGUAACUUCGGGAGAAGGCACGCUGAUAUGUAGGUGAAGUCCCUCGCGGAUGGAGCUGAAAUCAGUCGAAGAUACCAGCUGGCUGCAACUGUUUAUUAAAAACACAGCACUGUGCAAACACGAAAGUGGACGUAUACGGUGUGACGCCUGCCCGGUGCCGGAAGGUUAAUUGAUGGGGUUAGCGCAAGCGAAGCUCUUGAUCGAAGCCCCGGUAAACGGCGGCCGUAACUAUAACGGUCCUAAGGUAGCGAAAUUCCUUGUCGGGUAAGUUCCGACCUGCACGAAUGGCGUAAUGAUGGCCAGGCUGUCUCCACCCGAGACUCAGUGAAAUUGAACUCGCUGUGAAGAUGCAGUGUACCCGCGGCAAGACGGAAAGACCCCGUGAACCUUUACUAUAGCUUGACACUGAACAUUGAGCCUUGAUGUGUAGGAUAGGUGGGAGGCUUUGAAGUGUGGACGCCAGUCUGCAUGGAGCCGACCUUGAAAUACCACCCUUUAAUGUUUGAUGUUCUAACGUUGACCCGUAAUCCGGGUUGCGGACAGUGUCUGGUGGGUAGUUUGACUGGGGCGGUCUCCUCCUAAAGAGUAACGGAGGAGCACGAAGGUUGGCUAAUCCUGGUCGGACAUCAGGAGGUUAGUGCAAUGGCAUAAGCCAGCUUGACUGCGAGCGUGACGGCGCGAGCAGGUGCGAAAGCAGGUCAUAGUGAUCCGGUGGUUCUGAAUGGAAGGGCCAUCGCUCAACGGAUAAAAGGUACUCCGGGGAUAACAGGCUGAUACCGCCCAAGAGUUCAUAUCGACGGCGGUGUUUGGCACCUCGAUGUCGGCUCAUCACAUCCUGGGGCUGAAGUAGGUCCCAAGGGUAUGGCUGUUCGCCAUUUAAAGUGGUACGCGAGCUGGGUUUAGAACGUCGUGAGACAGUUCGGUCCCUAUCUGCCGUGGGCGCUGGAGAACUGAGGGGGGCUGCUCCUAGUACGAGAGGACCGGAGUGGACGCAUCACUGGUGUUCGGGUUGUCAUGCCAAUGGCACUGCCCGGUAGCUAAAUGCGGAAGAGAUAAGUGCUGAAAGCAUCUAAGCACGAAACUUGCCCCGAGAUGAGUUCUCCCUGACUCCUUGAGAGUCCUGAAGGAACGUUGAAGACGACGACGUUGAUAGGCCGGAUGUGUAAGCGCAGCGAUGCGUUGAGCUAACCGGUACUAAUGAACCGUGAGGCUUAACCUU